AUACCUAUUGAGGCCGAACGCUUGUUCGGCUUCAAGAGAACCUAAUUCCACGAUCAUCAAAUUGAGAUGAAGAUUUAUCCGCACAAAAGGUAAAGAUUCGAUCUUGAUUUUCUCUUUUAAUCUUAAAAACAUGAGGGAUUCUAAUUACGUGAUUUUUGAGAUCGGAUCUCGAGAGUUUUCGAAAAUUAAAUCUGUUUGAUUUCUUUUCCGCUCCGUUUUUAUCGUACGCAAUUUUCUAACAGUGGUAUCAGAGCCAUCCUCAUGUUUUUCAAGAUUAAAAUUAUAAAUUUGGAUAUUUUAAACCGUUCUUCAUCGGUUGAACGAUUAAUAGAUCGUUUUUGGUUGAUUCGAAAAAUCCAUCAAAUAAUUUAAUCUUUAGCUUCUAGCAAAAAAAAAAAAAAAAAAAAAAAAAAAAAAAAAAAAAAAAAAAAAAAAAAAAAAAAACUGUAGCAGCAGUAAGGACGCUACUGUAGCAGACGUACGGAAUUUUUUUUGGUUUUGAAUUUUUAAAAAAUUUGAUUAGAUCGGUUUUAAAAUAAAAAAAAAAUGGAUUUAAUUAGAUUAGAUCAAAUUAAUAUUAUGAUGAGAUUAAGUUGUUAUGUUUGAAGAGUAAGUUGUUGAUCAAAAUUAUAAAUAAUCAAUAAGAUUGAUUGUUUUUAGUAAUUUAGUCAUUAAUUUUUCGAAUUAUCGAUUAACGGUUAAUUAGAAUACUCAAAAUUAAUUAUUAUGCAUGUGACGUAUGAGAUACAUAUCGGUAAUGAUUAUGAAUAGCGACCUAUUUAUUUUUGUUUCGACAUGUAAUGUAUGAUGUGUAUGCAGAAUCCUGUAACUUUAAAUUUGUUUAAAUUAAGGACUUUAUAAUCGAGAUGGCUAUUUACGUGCCUGCGUGUACAAGCCGAUUUAUUUAGAGACUUGCGUUUCUCAAUAGGUUAGAGAUAAAAGUUAUCAAAUGUAAUUAAUUUUUAUUUUAUUUUUAUUGUUGGGUUGUAUACUGUAUAGUUG
rnacentral:lncRNA from 1 species